UAUGGCCCUUAUUGAAGCUAUGGCUCCUUCUACUUAACUUCAGUGGUCAAGAAAGAACCCUAAACAACAAGGGCAACAAAAGGGGAAAAUAAAUAAAUAAAUCUUUUUAAAAGUCAUUAAAAAAAGAACCCAAAGUGACAGUUUUCCUUUUCAAAGUUGUUUUUAUUGCAACUGAUCCGCCACAGUGUAGGAAAAGACAAUU